UAGGGCUGUAAAUAGUCACAAUGGGCCUGUAAAUAGUCCAGCCCCAUUACCACGUGCUGGUCCAGACAGCGGGCUGCAGGUUUCAGAAUUCUCUGUUUGUUUAUGAUACUUUGGGAAGGAUCCUGGGAGAGUGAAAAUAAAUGAAGUGCUCAAUCUGCCAAGUUUCA